rnacentral:rRNA from 1 species
CGAGGGGUAACAGGAAAGCUUGCUUUUGCUGACGACCGGCGCACGGGUGCGUAACGCGUAUGCAACCUACCUCAUACUGGAGCAUAGCCCUUGGAAACGAGGAUUAAUACUCCAUGGUAUCAUGAAUUCGCAUGUUUUUAUGAUUAAAGAAUUUCGGUAUGAGAUGGGCAUGCGUCCCAUUAGCUAGUUGGUGAGGUAACGGCUCACCAAGGCGACGAUGGGUAGGGGGCCUGAGAGGGUGGUCCCCCACACUGGUACUGAGACACGGACCAGACUCCUACGGGAGGCAGCAGUGAGGAAUAUUGGUCAAUGGAGGCAACUCUGAACCAGCCAUGCCGCGUGAAGGAUGACGGCCCUAUGGGUUGUAAACUUCUUUUAUAUGGGAAGAAACUUAUCUACGUGUAGAUAACUGACGGUACCAUACGAAUAAGGAUCGGCUAACUCCGUGCCAGCAGCCGCGGUAAU